UAGUCUUAUUCAGGAUCGAACUGAAAUCUCUAUGUCCCUAACAUAGUAUUCUCCCAUUAAACUAUAAGACC
rnacentral:tRNA from 1 species